UGUAACACAUUGAAAUUUGGAUCCAAGAAUCUAUCAUCUCUCUGCAGCCCACUCCACUGACCUGCCAAGGGGAGAGCAUGUUGUCUGGAAGUAUGCCACGCAUGGAAUGGCACACCAGGAUCAACGGUUUAUUGGAGCAAACUGAUGCACUUCAAGGAAAAGAACAGGAGAGACACUCUUCAGGUCUCCAAAAUGACUGACUGUGUAUUCUCCAGAGUGAUUCCUCAAGGAAAGGCAGACACGUAUGUUCGUCCUACAAUCUGUGCCAAAUUUUAUUUUGAAAUCUGAAAAUCCCACUUGUUUUCUCUAUUUGUGAAAAAAUCUAACAUGUUCUCUUCAGGAAUGAUGAAAUACUAAUGUAUCGCGUUUCAACCUUUUUUUUUUUCUCAAAAAGGCUGCUGCCACAAUGAUAAACAAUCAUGUGACUAACAAAUUAGUGAAUGUGUUUAAAUACUGACUAAAUGUCAUGGUUAAUUAAUGUAUUUGCACAUCAUUAAUUCAUAUUAACAACUACAUUAGUUGAUGCCAAUUCAUGUGACCUUGUAAAGUUACCAAAUAAAUUCAUACUUUGUUAUCUGCA